AAUAUUGGACAAUGGGGGCAACCCUGAUCCAGCCAUGCCGCGUGUGUGAAGAAGGUCUUCGGAUUGUAAAGCACUUUAAGUUGGGAGGUAGGGCUUUAGGCUAAUACCCUGAAGUUUUCACGUUACCAACAGAAUAAGCUCCGGAUAACUCUAUGCCAGCAGCCGCGCUAAUACGAAGGGUGCAAGCGUUAAACGGAAUUACUGGGCGUAAAGCGCGCGUAGGUGGUUUGUUAAGUUGGAAGUGAAAGCCCCGGGCUUAACCUGGGAACUGCUUUCAUAACUGCUGAGCUAGAGUACGGUAGAGGGUAGUGGAAUUUCCUGUGUAGCGGUGAAAUGCGUAGAUAUAGGAAGGAACACCAGUGGCGAAGGCGACCACCUGGGCUGAUACUGACACUGAGGCGCGAAAGCGUGGGGAGCAAAC
rnacentral:rRNA from 1 species